UCGUGCUUAACACAUGCAAGUCGAACGGAAAGGCCCUUUCGGGGGUACUCGAGUGGCGAACGGGUGAGUAACACGUGGGUGAUCUGCCCUGCACUCUGGGAUAAGCCUGGGAAACUGGGUCUAAUACCGGAUAGGACCAUGGGAUGCAUGUUCUGUGGUGGAAAGCUUUUGCGGUGUGGGAUGGGCCCGCGGCCUAUCAGCUUGUUGGUGGGGUGAUGGCCUACCAAGGCGACGACGGGUAGCCGGCCUGAGAGGGUGUCCGGCCACACUGGGACUGAGAUACGGCCCAGACUCCUACGGGAGGCAGCAGUGGGGAAUAUUGCACAAUGGGCGCAAGCCUGAUGCAGCGACGCCGCGUGGGGGAUGACGGCCUUCGGGUUGUAAACCUCUUUCAGUAUCGGCGAAGCUCCUGGAUUUUUCUGGGGGUGACGGUAGGUACAGAAGAAGCACCGGCCAACUACGUGCCAGCAGCCGCGGUAAUACGUAGGGUGCGAGCGUUGUCCGGAAUUACU
rnacentral:rRNA from 1 species